UACGGGGGGAGCAAGCGUUGUUCGGAAUUACUGGGCGUAAAGGGCUCGUAGGCGGCCAACUAAGUCGGAUGUGAAAUCCCCAGGCUUAACCUGGGAACUGCAUCCGAUACUGGAUGGCUUGAAUCCGGGAGAGGGAUGCAGAAUUCCAGGUGUAGCGGUGAAAUGCGUAGAUAUCAGGAGGAACACCGGUGGCGAAGGCGGGUCUCUGGGCCGAUACUGACGCUGAGGAGCGAAAGCGUGGGGAGCAAACAGG
rnacentral:rRNA from 1 species